GACUAUUUUCCAGAGCCCAAGGUAAUGUACUCAUCUUAGUUAAAUGAUUAACCAGAAGUACCAGGACUUAAUCAGACACAAAGUGAGUGAGGUGAGCUUGAGAUGGUUUGUGCAUGUGCAGAGCAAAAAUGUGGGGUAUAUCUGGAGAAGGAUGCUGAAGAUGGAGCCGCCAGGUAGAAGGAGAAGAGGAAUGCCAAAGAGGAGUUUUGUGAGAUUCACUUAA